GACGAACGCUGGCGGCGUGCUUAACACAUGCAAGUCGAGCGGAGCGGCGCACGGGUGAGUAACGCGUGAGUAACUGCCCCCCUCUCUGGGAUAACAGUUGGAAACGGCUGCUAAUACCGGAUAGUGGGGGAUGACUCGCGUCCUAUCAGCUUGUUGGUGGGGUAGUGGCGUACCAAGGCGACGACGGGGAGCCGGCCUGAGAGGGCGACCGGCCACAUUGGGCUGAGAUACGGCCCAGACUGCGACGGUGGGCAGCAGUGGGGAGUAUUGCACAAUGGGGGAAACCCUGAUGCAGCAGGGCGGGUGCGGGAUGACGGCCUGCGGGUUGGAAACCGCUUGCAGCCAGGACGCGGUAGGGGCAGAAGAAGCACCGGCUAACUACGUGCCAGCAGCCGCGGGAAUUC
rnacentral:rRNA from 1 species